rnacentral:rRNA from 1 species
AGCAUGUGGUUUAAUUCGAUGCAACGCGAAGAACCUUACCUGGGCUUGACAUCCCGGGAAUCCCUUGGAAACAAGGGAGUGCCCUUCGGGGAAUCUGGAGACAGGUGCUGCAUGGCUGUCGUCAGCUCGCGUCGUGAGAUGUUGGGUUAAGUCCCGCAACGAGCGCAACCCCUAUCCUCAGUUGCCAUCAUUAAGUUGGGCACUCUGUGGAGACUGCCGGUGUCAAACCGGAGGAAGGUGGGAUGACGUCAAGUCCUCAUGGCCCUUAUGACCAGGGCUACACACGUGCUACAAUGGCCGGUACAAAGAGUUGCGAUACCGCGAGGUGGAGCUAAUCUCAUAAAGCCGGUCUCAGUUCGGAUUGGAGUCUGCAACUCGACUCCAUGAAGUUGGAAUCGCUAGUAAUCGCGGAUCAGCAUGCCCGCGGUCGAAUACGUUCCCGGGCCUU